GAGGGUAUAGCUUGGUGGUAGAGUGCAUGCCCAGCAUGCAUGAGGUCCUGGGUUCAAUUUCCAGUACCUGCA
rnacentral:tRNA from 1 species